ensembl:lncRNA
AGAGAUGGAGGUAGGGUGGAGAGAUGGAGGGGUAGAGAGAUGGAGGUAGGGGGUAGAGAGAUGGAGGUAGGGUGGAGAGAUGAAGGGGUAGAGAGAUGGAGGUAGGGUUGAGAGAUGGAGGGGUAGAGAGAUGGAGGUAGGGUGGAGAGAUGGAGGAAGGGUGGAGAGAUGGAGGGGUAGAGAGAUGGAGGUAGGGUGGAGAGAGAUGGAGGUAGGGUGGAGAGAUGUAGGGGUAGAGAGAUGGAGGGGUAGAGAGAUGGAGGUAGGGUGGAUUGAGGUAGGGUGGAGAGAUGGAGGGGUGGAGAGACGGAGGGGCGGAGAGAUGGAGGUAGGGUGGAGAGUUGGAGGGAAAGAGAGAUGGAGGUCUGGAGAGAUGGAGGGGUGGAGAGAUGGAGGUAGGAUGGAGAGAUGGAGGGGUAGAGAGAUGGAGGGGUGGAGAGGAAGCGCUAGAGAGAUGGAGAGGUGGAGGGGUGGAGAGAUGGAGAGAUGGAAGGGUAGAGAGAUGGAGGGGUGGAGAUAUUGAGGGGUAGAGAGAUGUAGGGGUAGAGAGAUGGAGGUAGGGUGGAGAGAUGGAGGGGUGGAAAUGGAGGGAUAGAGAGAUGGAGGGGUGGAGAUAGAGGAGUAGAUAGAUGGAGGGGUGGAGAUGGAGAGGUAGAUAAAUG